UCUUCCUCUAAUUAAUCGUGAUGAUGCCUUGGAAUGGGAGGCACCUGAAGUGAAACGCCAGCUCCCUCCUCAGCACCUUCUGUCUGAUAUAAUCGCAAUGUAUAGUAUAAUGGCUAAUGAAACACUGAAUAAAAUUUAUUAUACUGAAAGAUACAAGCGUGCAUUUAAAAUAAGUGCCUGGGAUUACAUUUUGCUGAAUUCCAAUUUUAAACUCAGCAUUGAAUUUAUGUUUUUUUUGUUCCAAGUAAUGACUGCAUCAGCAAGACACGGAUACUUCGAUUCGUACUAAUCCGUUUCUCUUGGGUGAAAUAUGUUACGAUUUAAAAUUGUUUCCCUCAAACUCACCCAGUCAUUGGCACACAUAAUCUUAGCGGGGUUAAUUCUAAUCAGCUCAGUUCUAGAGAAAGAGUUUUGAGGCUUCAUAAAUCCUUUUUUUUCUUCUAAGAGCUCAUUUUAAAUUAAGUUCAUCUUUGUAUACGUUUGCUAUUAAAAUCUUCUCAGGUUGGUACAGGGUAGAUGUGGAGGGGUGCAGCAAGAGGGUAGCAGAUCCAUUUGCGCUAAGACCUGGACUCACCCGCCGCCUCUCCAACUGGACAGAGUGGGCAGCCGUGACUCAUGGUACGAGUUUUCGCAAAGCAGCGAGCUGUGCAUACUGAUGUGACUUGCACGCCUUUUAGUGCAGGAAACCACCAACACUUCAAAGGAAGGAAUCCUUCUGAUAAGAGGCCAUGAACUCUGGGAAGAUGGCAGCCACCAGUGACAGGAGCCUCAUGGAGGAAAGGAAGAAGGUGCUAGACUCAAAGCCAGAAGAACUGAGUUCCAGCACCUGCUCUGGCCCUUACCAACUCUGUCGGCCGGGGCAGUUGGUCCACCUGUCUAAGGGUGAUGAUACUCCGCUAACACAGUGGGUUUUUUGAGAGAGUCUACUGAAAUCAUUGUGUAUAUGAAGCACUUUUAAAACUGUAAAGUGCCAUCCAAAUGAAAGACGGUAGUACCUCCCUCAGCCUCUGGUAACGUGUAUGUCUACUAAGUGUUAGGAGUGCAAGGACAUGCCCACCUUCCAGCUAAUUGGUGCGGAAAGGCCCUGGGCUUCCCCGCAUAACAAGCUGCAACUGCAUGACCCCAUACCGCCUUUAUUUCUUCUAAUUGCAGCUUUCUGCUUACGCUUCUCUUUACUUACCUGUCGCUGAUCACUGACCACCUUUUUGAAUGAAGAAUGUUCCAGAGUCUUGGCUGGCCCUAGAUGCCACCUUUCAUGUCACCUUGCUCUGCUGCCCCCCCACCCUCAUCCUGCAACACGACAUCAGGUCCCUCUGCAGUUUGCAGGGGUACAGUUUUGGUUCCUGUAGGUUUUCUCUGAGACUGUCUCCCACUGCAUGCUAGGGCUUCUUUCCUCAUGGGGCAACAUGCGACCCAUCUUGGGCAUCCGUGAUCUACAUUUGUCCUGGGGAAUUUUCUGGCAGAGAGAGCUGUGAAAUGCCAUUAGCAUGGUCAGUCCUCAGAAGAGCCCUGCAUUUGGUUGAAUGUGC
rnacentral:lncRNA from 1 species